rnacentral:rRNA from 1 species
GGCGAUCAGAUACCGCCCUAGUUCUGACCGUAAACGAUGCCAACUAGCGAUCUGCCGGCGGAAUUUUCGCCCUGGUAGGGAGCUUCCCGGAAACGAAAGUCUUCCGGUUCCGGGGGAAGUAUGGUUGCAAAGCUGAAACUUAAAGGAAUUGACGGAAGGGCACCACCAGGAGUGGAGCCUGCGGCUUAAUUUGACUCAACACGGGGAAACUCACCCGGCCCGGACACCGUAAGGAUUGACAGAUUGAUAGCUUUUUCAUGAUUCGGUGGAUGGUGGUGCAUGGCCGUUCUUAGUUCGUGGAGCGAUUUGUCUGGUUUAUUCCGAUAACGAGCGAGACUCUAGCCUACUAAAUAGUCUGCACAUUGCUUCUGUGUUGCAGUACUUCUUAGAGGGAUUUUCGGUGUACAGCCGCACGAGAUUGAGCAAUAACAGGUCUGUGAUGCCCUUAGAUGUCCGGGGCUGCACGCGCGCUACACUGGCGAAAUCAGCGUGCCUGUCCUUUCCCGAAAGGGAUCGGUAAACCAUUGAAAAUUUGCCGUGAUUGGGAUCGAAAAUUGCAAUUAUUUUUCGUGAACGAGGAAUUCCAAGUAAAUGCGAGUCAUCAACUCGCGUUGAUUACGUCCCUGCCCUUUGUA